rnacentral:lncRNA from 1 species
CGCUUACGGCUCUCCAUCUGGUUCAGUUUAUUCUCCAGUACAAUGGCCUUGUCUAUUAGAGACUAGUAAGUGAGGGUGUAGGCGACAGCCAACUGGACGGAUAGCUCAUCAUUCAGGCCAUCCAAAAACCUUUCUCGACACUUGGCGUCAGUAUUCACCUCAUCGGGUGCAUAGCGGGACAGGCUGUUGAACACCUCUAUAAAUUCUAUCACGGUGCGGUUCCCCUGCCUCAGUUUUAGUAAUUCCUUCUUUUUCAGACUGAGUACCCCCGUUGAGAUGUGGGCGGUACGGAAAGACUCCUAGAACAUCUCCCAAGUAACAUCUUCGAUAGGGGUGGUGAUCUGAAAAUUUUCCCACCAAGACGCGACUGGUCCCUCCAGUAAAUGGGCAGCAAACCUGACCUUCUCUUCGUCAGUGCAGUUCGCAUUAACCAGAUUUUGGUUGACUGAACGGAGCCAGUCAUCUGCCACAAUCGGUUCUGGGGAGCUCGAAAAGGUGGGUGGCCGCAAUCUCAGAAAACGGGUCAGCAUAUCCACCUGGGGAGGUGGGUGGUGCUGGUUGUUGUGAUUCUGGUUGUGGUUCUGAUUAUUAUUGGCCGUUUGCUGAGUCAUCAACUGGAUGAACUGAGUCUAGACUGCCAGUAAUUGUUGCACUAAUGCAGCAUUCUCAUCCCCCUCUGCAUUAUUUUCAGCAUUGUUGUCAUUGUUGUUGGCAUUGUUGCGGGUUUGGCGUCGGCAUCUGUUUUAGGAUAGCAAAGAUGAGACAAAAUAUAGGUGGAAGAGGUCUAAGGAUAUCUAUCCCCCCACAAACAGACACAAGCAUAUCAAUCAAACAACAAUCCUUUAUUAAAAUUUCUUUUGAAGAUUCCAAAUAAACGACAUAAAGACUCAUUGUUGGCCCACGGCCUAAGUAAAAGGAAAAUAAAAUAAAAAUAAAAAUAAAAAGAAAAGAAGAACCAACGGUCUACGUCGCCAUACAACAUAGUUCUGUAUGGUCAACGACUAACAUGUACUCGAAUUUUAUUAUAUGCUAAGUAAGAUGUGGUGGUCUCCAAAACAACUAAGGGAGUGCGACGAAAGUGGUGGCUCCAUCGGCUCCCCUCCUGGAGCGGGUGUUGGCGGUUGGUGUGUCUUCCUCUGGAAAGCUCUCCUCCUCUGAGGGAUCAUCUGGAGGUGGUCCCUCUCCCUCGGGCUCGGAUAUCUCCUGUGCUGGAGCGUUGGCUGCGAGUGCGUUGUUGAGGAAGUUCUGCAUCUGAUCGAUGUGCAGCUGCAGCAAAUCCCUCUCGUACUGAACAUGCCGUAGAGCGUCCCCCAUAUUGAGUAUGGUGGCCUCUAGGUUGGCCCGGUUUCCCAGGAGUGCUCCAACCUGCUCCUCAGCAAUAUUAGCACGA